rnacentral:rRNA from 1 species
UGGAAGGAAAAAAUCGUAACAAGGUCUCCGUUGGUGAACCAGCGGAGGGAUCAUUACCG